GGACUGGUAUUGACGCUGAGGUGGGAAAGCGUGGGGAGCAAACAGGAUUAGAUAGCCUGGUAGUCCACGCCGUAAACGAUGAUGACUAGCUGUCGGGGCGCUUGGCGUUUCGGUGGCGCAGCUAACGCGUUAAGUCAUCCGCCUGGGGAGUACGGCCGCAAGGUUAAAACUCAAAGAAAUUGACGGAGGCCUGCACAAGCGGUGGAGGAUGGGGUUUAAUUCUAAGCAACGCGCAGAACCUUACCAGCGU
rnacentral:rRNA from 1 species